rnacentral:lncRNA from 12 species
UAUAAAGUCAUAUCUGGCAAAAGGGGUUUUCCUGUAACUAUUUCAUUUUGUGGAAGACACUUCUCUGCACCUUUUUCUGAGAACCUGGAGCUGAGCAAGACUGACCAAUAAACACAACUGUAGCAGAGAUCUGGCCUGCAGAGAAACACCCUCACAAUAAGAAGCCCAUAGAAGCUGUUGCAGCAAGAUGAGAUAUGGUUUGCAGAAGCUCUGAGCCUCAGUUAUGUUUAUCCCACAAGCUGUCACCACUGCAGCCACGCUGUGAAGAAGCACAAUCCCUAAGAUGGACCGGUAGAGAACUUUAAUGUAAUUUCACUGCAACAUCAAAACUUCAAAAAAUAUUUGUACAGAUAUUCCUGUGUUCACUACUUUAUUGAACUAAAGUUCUGAACUAAGUUCAGCUUCUCUCAUCAGUCCUCUAAGCAGAAACAUGGGAUCCGAGAACAAUUCUACCUAAGAAAGGGCUGGAGACAGAGGAUUGUCGAACUGCAGUGUGUGAGGCUCAAAUUCUGCCCUUCAAGCAGCCAAGGGGUAGGGGGAAUAAAUCCUCAAUGAAGACAAGGGAUGCUUAAGAUGAGGAAUCUCAGUCUGCAGGAUGAACCAAGAGGCUGGAUACCCUGGCUGAAGUGUGCCAGGGCUCAGAGGAGCACAGCAGCUUGCCAGAUCCUCCCUGGAUUGGGGCAUAUCAGCCUGAUACAAAUCAGAGGGACUGCCAUCUGCACUUAUCAAGACAGUUGUGGACUUUCUUUGAAGCUGGGAGAUGGCCCAGGUGCAUGUUUUGUAGCAGGUUGCUUGACAUGGGCCUCAGGAAUGCCUUGUGGAACUUCAGCUCUUACUCCAUCAUCACAGCCUUGCAGAGAGGGGUGAUGGCUGCAUCUGGGAGUCCAUCUAAGGAAGAGACUGGUCUCUUUUGAACACUGGUGUGAAGCAAGGCUACACUUGCUUUCUGGGGCUGUUUAGCAUCAUCAUACAUAGCUACUGUGCACGAGCAGCAGCAUUCUGUGAGGUGGGUUGCACAUAUCUUGGAAGCAUAAAUCGUGCUAGUAGCACUGCUUUACUGAGC